CCCCCCCUUAAAAGAUUUAGAUGCACUAUUGUAAAGUGGUUGUUCCACUGGAUAUUAUAGGUGAAUGCACCAAUUUGUAAGUCGCUCUGGAUAAGAGCGUCUGCUAAAUGACUAAAAUGUAAAUGUAAAAUGUAAACAGAGAGGGAGAUGAAGAAGAGGUAGAAACAGAGGGGGAGAUGAAGAAGAGGUAGAAACAGAGAGGGGGAGAUGAAGAAGAGGUAGAAACAGAGGGGGAGAUGAAGAAGAGGUAGAAACAGAGGGGGAGAUGAAGUAGAAGAGGUAGAAACAGAGGGAGAUGAAGUAGAAGAGGUAGAAACAGAGAGGGGGAGAUGAAGAAGAGGUAGAAACAGAGGGGGAGAUGAAGUAGAAGAGGUAGAAACAGAGAGGGGGAGAUGAAGAAGAGGUAGAAACAGAGGGAGAUGAAGAAGAGGUAGAAACAGAGAGGGAGAUGAAGUAGAAGAGGUAGAAACAGAGGGGGAGAUGAAGAAGAGGUAGAAACAGAGAGGGAGAUGAAGUAGAAGAGGUAGAAACAGAGGGGGAGAUGAAGAAGAGGUAGAAACAGAGGGGGAGAUGAAGUAGAAGAGGUAGAAACAGAGAGGGGGAGAUGAAGUAGAAGAGGUAGAAACAGAGAGGUGCGAGUUAAGAGGUUUCAAGUAGUGUUAGCAGCCCUGAGAAAAAACACAUUAAAGCCACCUCUUUAGAUUCUGGCAUGCACAUCCCAGAGAGCCAUCCCAGUAAGCUAAAUUAUGUUGAAAAUACAUAUUUUUCAGACGUUGAAGUUAGGUUCAUUUUAGGUUCUGAAUGAAAGUUAAAAAGACAAUUUUGAUUGCAAAAUAUAUAUUUUUUUAUUGUUAUUUCUCCCAUCUGUCACAUGCACUUAUUUUAACUUUUUCCAAAAGCUUUACAACUGGCAGCUAGUGAUGG
rnacentral:lncRNA from 1 species